rnacentral:rRNA from 1 species
GCAAGCCUAACACAUGCAAGUCGAGCGGUAACAGAUUGAUAGCUUGCUUUCUUUGCUGACGAGCGGCGGACGGGUGAGUAAUGCCUGGGAAUAUACCCUGAUGUGGGGGAUAACUAUUGGAAACGAUAGCUAAUACCGCAUAAUCUCUUCAGAGCAAAGAGGGGGACCUUCGGGCCUCUCGCGUCGGGAUUACCCCAGGUGGGAUUAGCUAGUUGGUGGGGUAAUGGCUCACCAGGGCGACGAUCCCUAGCUGGUCUGAGAGGAUGAUCAGCCACACUGGAACUGACACACGGUCCAGACUCCUACGGGAGGCAGCAGUGGGGAAUAUUGCACAGUGGGGGAAACCCUGAUGCAGCCAUGCCGCGUGUAUGAAGAAGGCCUUCGGGUUGUAAAGUACUUUCAGUUGUGAAGAAGGCGUUGGAGUUAAUAGCUUCAGCGCUUGACGUUAGCAACAGAAGAAGCACCGGCUAACUCCGUGCCAGCAGCCGCGGUAAUACAGAGGGUGCGAGCGUUAAUCGGAAUUAGUGGGCGUAAAGCGCAUGCAGGCGGUCUGUUAAGCAAGAUGUGAAAGCCCGGGGCUCAACCUCAGAACAGCAUUUUGAACUGGCAGACUAGACUCUUGUAAAGGGGGGUAGAAUUUCAGGUGUAGCGGUGAAGUGCGUAGAGAUCUGAAAGAAUACCGGUGGCGAAGGCGGCCCCCUGGACAAAGACUGACGCUCAGAUGCGAAAGCGUGGGGAGCAAACAGGAUUAGAUACCCUGGUAGUCCACGCCGUAAACGAUGUCUACUUGAAGGUUGUGGCCUUGAGCCGUGGCUUUCGGAGCUAACGCGUUAAGUAGACCGCCUGGGGAGUACGGUCGCAAGAUUAAAACUCAAAUGAAUUGACGGGGGCCCGCACAAGCGGUGGAGCAUGUGGUUUAAUUCGAUGCAACGCGAAGAACCUUACCUACUCUUGACAUCCAGAGAAUUCGCUAGAGAUAGCUUAGUGCCUUCGGGAACUCUGAGACAGGUGCUGCAUGGCUGUCGUCAGCUCGUGUUGUGAAAUGUUGGGUUAAGUCCCGCAACGAGCGCAACCCUUAUCCUUGUUUGCCAGCACGUAAUGGUGGGAACUCCAGGGAGACUGCCGGUGAUAAACCGGAGGAAGGUGGGGACGACGUCAAGUCAUCAUGGCCCUUACGAGUAGGGCUACACACGUGCUACAAUGGCGUAUACAGAGGGCUGCAAGCUAGCGAUAGUGAGCGAAUCCCACAAAGUACGUCGUAGUCCGGAUUGGAGUCUGCAACUCGACUCCAUGAAGUCGGAAUCGCUAGUAAUCGUGAAUCAGAAUGUCACGGUGAAUACGUUCCCGGGCCUUGUACACACCGCCCGUCACACCAUGGGAGUGGGCUGCACCAGAAGUAGAUAGCUUAACCUUCGGGAGGGCGUUUACCACGG